rnacentral:misc_RNA from 1 species
GAAAUGCGAUAAGUAAUGUGAAUUACAGAAUUCAGUGAAUCAUCGAAUCUUUGAACGCACCUUGCGCUCCUUGGUAUUCCUUGGAGCAUGCCUGUUUGAGUAUCAUGAAAUCUUCAAAGUAAAUCUUUUGUUAACUCAAUUGGUUUCUACUUUGGUAUUGGAGGUCUUUGCAGCUUCACACCUGCUCCUCUUUGUUCAUUAGCUGGAUCUCAGUGUUAUGCUUGGUUCCACUCGGCGUGAUAAGUUAUCUAUCGCUGAGGACACUGUAAAAGGUGGCCAAGGUAAAUGCAGAUGAACCGCUUCUAAUAGUCCAUUGACUUGGACAAUACUUUUAUGAUCUGAUCUCAAAUCAGGUAAGACUACCCGCUGAACUUAAGC